rnacentral:rRNA from 1 species
GAUUAAGUUAUUAAGGGCGCACGGUGGAUGCCUUGGCACUAGAAGCCGAUGAAGGACGUUACUAACGACGAUAUGCUUUGGGGAGCUGUAAGUAAGCUUUGAUCCAGAGAUUUCCGAAUGGGGAAACCCAGCAUGAGUUAUGUCAUGUUAUCGAUAUGUGAAUACAUAGCAUAUCAGAAGGCACACCCGGAGAACUGAAACAUCUUAGUACCCGGAGGAAGAGAAAGAAAAUUCGAUUCCCUUAGUAGCGGCGAGCGAAACGGGAAGAGCCCAAACUAACAAGCUUGCUUGUUGGGGUUGUAGGACACUCUAUACGGAGUUACAAAGGACGACAUUAGACGAAUCAACUGGAAAGAUGAAUCAAAGAAGGUAAUAAUCCUGUAGUCGAAAAUGUUGUCUCUCUUGAGUGGAUCCUGAGUACGACGGAGCACGUGAAAUUCCGUCGGAAUCUGGGAGGACCAUCUCCUAAGGCUAAAUACUCUCUAGUGACCGAUAGUGAACCAGUACCGUGAGGGAAAGGUGAAAAGAACCCCGGAAGGGGAGUGAAAUAGAACCUGAAACCGUGUGCUUACAAGUAGUCAGAGCCCGUUAAUGGGUGAUGGCGUGCCUUUUGUAGAAUGAACCGGCGAGUUACGAUUUGAUGCAAGGUUAAGCAGUAAAUGUGGAGCCGUAGCGAAAGCGAGUCUGAAUAGGGCGUUUAGUAUUUGGUCGUAGACCCGAAACCAGGUGAUCUACCCUUGGUCAGGUUGAAGUUCAGGUAACACUGAAUGGAGGACCGAACCGACUUACGUUGAAAAGUGAGCGGAUGAACUGAGGGUAGCGGAGAAAUUCCAAUCGAACCUGGAGAUAGCUGGUUCUCUCCGAAAUAGCUUUAGGGCUAGCCUCAAGUGAUGAUUAUUGGAGGUAGAGCACUGUUUGGACGAGGGGCCCCUCUCGGGUUACCGAAUUCAGACAAACUCCGAAUGCCAAUUAAUUUAACUUGGGAGUCAGAACAUGGGUGAUAAGGUCCGUGUUCGAAAGGGAAACAGCCCAGACCACCAGCUAAGGUCCCAAAAUAUAUGUUAAGUGGAAAAGGAUGUGGCGUUGCCCAGACAACUAGGAUGUUGGCUUAGAAGCAGCCAUCAUUUAAAGAGUGCGUAAUAGCUCACUAGUCGAGUGACACUGCGCCGAAAAUGUACCGGGGCUAAACAUAUUACCGAAGCUGUGGAUUGUCCUUUGGACAAUGGUAGGAGAGCGUUCUAAGGGCGUUGAAGCAUGAUCGCAAGGACAUGUGGAGCGCUUAGAAGUGAGAAUGCCGGUGUGAGUAGCGAAAGACGGGUGAGAAUCCCGUCCACCGAUUGACUAAGGUUUCCAGAGGAAGGCUCGUCCGCUCUGGGUUAGUCGGGUCCUAAGCUGAGGCCGACAGGCGUAGGCGAUGGAUAACAGGUUGAUAUUCCUGUACCACCUAUAAUCGUUUUAAUCGAUGGGGGGACGCAGUAGGAUAGGCGAAGCGUGCGAUUGGAUUGCACGUCUAAGCAGUAAGGCUGAGUAUUAGGCAAAUCCGGUACUCGUUAAGGCUGAGCUGUGAUGGGGAGAAGACAUUGUGUCUUCGAGUCGUUGAUUUCACACUGCCGAGAAAAGCCUCUAGAUAGAAAAUAGGUGCCCGUACCGCAAACCGACACAGGUAGUCAAGAUGAGAAUUCUAAGGUGAGCGAGCGAACUCUCGUUAAGGAACUCGGCAAAAUGACCCCGUAACUUCGGGAGAAGGGGUGCUCUUUAGGGUUAACGCCCAGAAGAGCCGCAGUGAAUAGGCCCAAGCGACUGUUUAUCAAAAACACAGGUCUCUGCUAAACCGUAAGGUGAUGUAUAGGGGCUGACGCCUGCCCGGUGCUGGAAGGUUAAGAGGAGUGGUUAGCUUCUGCGAAGCUACGAAUCGAAGCCCCAGUAAACGGCGGCCGUAACUAUAACGGUCCUAAGGUAGCGAAAUUCCUUGUCGGGUAAGUUCCGACCCGCACGAAAGGCGUAACGAUUUGGGCACUGUCUCAACGAGAGACUCGGUGAAAUCAUAGUACCUGUGAAGAUGCAGGUUACCCGCGACAGGACGGAAAGACCCCGUGGAGCUUUACUGUAGCCUGAUAUUGAAAUUCGGCACAGCUUGUACAGGAUAGGUAGGAGCCUUUGAAACGUGAGCGCUAGCUUACGUGGAGGCGCUGGUGGGAUACUACCCUAGCUGUGUUGGCUUUCUAACCCGCACCACUUAUCGUGGUGGGAGACAGUGUCAGGCGGGCAGUUUGACUGGGGCGGUCGCCUCCUAAAAGGUAACGGAGGCGCUCAAAGGUUCCCUCAGAAUGGUUGGAAAUCAUUCAUAGAGUGUAAAGGCAUAAGGGAGCUUGACUGCGAGACCUACAAGUCGAGCAGGGUCGAAAGACGGACUUAGUGAUCCGGUGGUUCCGCAUGGAAGGGCCAUCGCUCAACGGAUAAAAGCUACCCCGGGGAUAACAGGCUUAUCUCCCCCAAGAGUUCACAUCGACGGGGAGGUUUGGCACCUCGAUGUCGGCUCAUCGCAUCCUGGGGCUGUAGUCGGUCCCAAGGGUUGGGCUGUUCGCCCAUUAAAGCGGUACGCGAGCUGGGUUCAGAACGUCGUGAGACAGUUCGGUCCCUAUCCGUCGUGGGCGUAGGAAAUUUGAGAGGAGCUGUCCUUAGUACGAGAGGACCGGGAUGGACAUACCUCUGGUGUACCAGUUGUCGUGCCAACGGCAUAGCUGGGUAGCUAUGUGUGGACGGGAUAAGUGCUGAAAGCAUCUAAGCAUGAAGCCCCCCUCAAGAUGAGAUUUCCCAACUUCGGUUAUAAGAUCCCUCAAAGAUGAUGAGGUUAAUAGGUUCGAGGUGGAAGCAUGGUGACAUGUGGAGCUGACGAAUACUAAUCGAUCGAAGACUUAAUCA